CCAUCAACUGCAUCAUCUUGUGCUGCUGUGAAGAUGACCAAGGUGUAUGGAAUGGGCGCAGAACCAUCAAAUUUCUCCAUCGCCUUCAUCAUGCAAUUGGUAAACCUGUAGUGUUGUACAAACUGAAGUUCCUCUUAUGAAGUGUACGUGCAUUCAUAAAAAGGCAAAGGAGGAGAUGAUUGGUGGUCGGUCACCACAUAUUAGACAUUAUUUAUUUACGUCUCGGGUUAUAACUGCUAGCGCACCUUUCCUUCUAUUUUUUAUUUUCGAUAAAGAACAUUUCAUCCGACCGAUAUAUUGAGGUGAUACAACAGUAUUGAAAGAAUGUCGAGAUAAGCGGGACAGGAGAUGUGUCACGAGAUCCUUCACCAGUUGCUCGACGUCACAACCAAUGUGUGUUGUGAAGGUGUGCAAUUGCUCAC
rnacentral:lncRNA from 1 species